GAUGAACGCUGGCGGCGUGCCUAAUACAUGCAAGUCGAGCGAACGGACGAGAAGCUUGCUUCUCUGAUGUUAGCGGCGGACGGGUGAGUAACACGUGGAUAACCUACCUAUAAGACUGGGAUAACUUCGGGAAACCGGAGCUAAUACCGGAUAAUAUUUUGAACCGCAUGGUUCAAAAGUGAAAGACGGUCUUGCUGUCACUUAUAGAUGGAUCCGCGCUGCAUUAGCUAGUUGGUAAGGUAACGGCUUACCAAGGCAACGAUGCAUAGCCGACCUGAGAGGGUGAUCGGCCACACUGGAACUGAGACACGGUCCAGACUCCUACGGGAGGCAGCAGUAGGGAAUCUUCCGCAAUGGGCGAAAGCCUGACGGAGCAACGCCGCGUGAGUGAUGAAGGUCUUCGGAUCGUAAAACUCUGUUAUUAGGGAAGAACAUAUGUGUAAGUAACUGUGCACAUCUUGACGGUACCUAAUCAGAAAGCCACGGCUAACUACGUGCCAGCAGCCGCGGUAAUACGUAGGUGGCAAGCGUUAUCCGGAAUUAUUGGGCGUAAAGCGCGCGUAGGCGGUUUUUUAAGUCUGAUGUGAAAGCCCACGGCUCAACCGUGGAGGGUCAUUGGAAACUGGAAAACUUGAGUGCAGAAGAGGAAAGUGGAAUUCCAUGUGUAGCGGUGAAAUGCGCAGAGAUAUGGAGGAACACCAGUGGCGAAGGCGACUUUCUGGUCUGUAACUGACGCUGAUGUGCGAAAGCGUGGGGAUCAAACAGGAUUAGAUACCCUGGUAGUCCACGCCGUAAACGAUGAGUGCUAAGUGUUAGGGGGUUUCCGCCCCUUAGUGCUGCAGCUAACGCAUUAAGCACUCCGCCUGGGGAGUACGACCGCGAGGUUGAAACUCAAAGGAAUUGACGGGGACCCGCACAAGCGGUGGAGCAUGUGGUUUAAUUCGAAGCAACGCGGAGAACCUUACCAAAUCUUGACAUCCUUUGACAACUCUAGAGAUAGAGCUUUCCCCUUCGGGGGACAAGGUGACAGGUGGUGCAUGGUUGUCGUCAGCUCGUGUCGUGAGAUGUUGGGUUAAGUCCCGCAACGAGCGCAACCCUUAAGCUUAGUUGCCAUCAUUAAGUUGGGCACUCUAAGUUGACUGCCGGUGACAAACCGGAGGAAGGUGGGGAUGACGUCAAAUCAUCAUGCCCCUUAUGAUUUGGGCUACACACGUGCUACAAUGGACAAUACAAAGGGCAGCGAAACCGCGAGGUCAAGCAAAUCCCAUAAAGUUGUUCUCAGUUCGGAUUGUAGCCUGCAACUCGACUACAUGAAGCUGGAAUCGCUAGUAAUCGUAGAUCAGCAUGCUACGGUGAAUACGUUCCCGGGUCU
rnacentral:rRNA from 1 species